GCUCUUCAUUCUUGAGGAACAGGAUAAAAAGUUUUUCCCAGUUUGUUUGGACUGCAUAGAGAACAGAGGGGCCAUCAGAAUAAAAAUCAGAAACAACAAGUAUAGAAAGGUUAAACUAGCCCUGAUACAUCGACCAGUGCAGCCAGUGAGAACAAACAGAAUGUAAGCGGUUUGAAGAGGCUGAAAUAAACCACAACUUCUUCAAACAGGAAGUGCUAUGAGAAUUCUCUAACUGGUCUUGGGAGUUCACCCAAGUCUUGGGAAUUCUGCUUUGUCUUCACUAAGAAUCCAGCAGCAGAUUCAAAGAGGAAUCCUAAUACUAUGGCAGUGGUAGA